UACGUAGGGUGCAAGCGUUAAUCGGAAUUACUGGGCGUAAAGCGUGCGCAGGCGGUUUUGUAAGUCUGUCGUGAAAGCCCCGGGCUCAACCUGGGAAUUGCGAUGGAGACUGCAAGGCUUGAAUCUGGCAGAGGGGGGUAGAAUUCCACGUGUAGCAGUGAAAUGCGUAGAUAUCAGGAGGAACACCGAUGGCGAAGGCAGGUCUCUGGGCUGACACUGACGCUCAUGCACGAAAGCGUGGGGAGCAAACAGG
rnacentral:rRNA from 1 species